AUGCACGCUGGCGGCGUGCCUCAUCCAUGCAAGUCGAGCGAACAGACGAGGAGCUUGCUCCUCUGACGUUAGCGGCGGACGGGUGAGUAACACGUGGAUAACCUACCUAUAAGACUGGGAUAACUUCGGGAAACCGGAGCUAAUACCGGAUAAUAUAUUGAACCGCAUGGUUCAAUAGUGAAAGACGGUUUUGCUGUCACUUAUAGAUGGAUCCGCGCCGCAUUAGCUAGUUGGUAAGGUAACGGCUUACCAAGGCAACGAUGCGUAGCCGACCUGAGAGGGUGAUCGGCCACACUGGAACUGAGACACGGUCCAGACUCCUACGGGAGGCAGCAGUAGGGAAUCUUCCGCAAUGGGCGAAAGCCUGACGUAGCAACGCCGCGUGAGUGAUGAAGGUCUUCGGAUCGUAAAACUCUGUUAUUAGGGAAGAACAAAUGUGUAAGUAACUAUGCACGUCUUGACGGUACCUAAUCAGAAAGCCACGGCUAACUACGUG
rnacentral:rRNA from 1 species